CUGCAAGCAGUGAACUGGAGAAACAUCCAGCACUUACUGCUCUACUAUAAGGAAAGAAAUACUCUUAUCAACUGGACAUCCAUAUAGUAGCCACUGUGGAUGUUCCAUGUGCCCAAAGAGUAUGGUGUGCAGAUCAAAGUCAAGGGCAAAACUGUCUGCACGUAUAUCUGAGGGUUCUGUCCAUUUUACAAUUCAGGUGCAUUUUAGAGUCAUCCAAGCUAGUAGCUGCGUCAUAGCCCUAGCAAUGUUAUGUGUGUUCUACAAAUGAAAGAUUUACCAUUAUUUGAAAUUCUUCAUUUCAAAAAGUUUAAAUGGAUUUGAAAUCUAUUAUAACUAUCACAAGAAAUGCUAUCAUUAGAUUAUUAAUGAAAGAAAGAUCUGUAGGAUUCUUUCUAUGUAUAUAACUUCAAUAGUCCCUGCAGGGAGCCGAAGGCCCGUAGGAUGUGACCAACUCAGUAGUCCACUGGAGGAUAUGAUUAAACAGCAAACUGUUUAUCAUGAAUGCAGGAUGUGGGCAAACUCACACUGCCCUGCCACCAAAAGGUUUGCUGAGGGACAUCACUCCCUGGCACCCGGCUCCUUGAAGUUAUCUACUGAGAAAUCUAGCACCUAUUAUCCAAAGGAUGCAGUCUUGCCUGCUGUGAACCAAAUUGCUGACUGACAAUUACCCAACAAUCACACCCCCCACCCCGAUCUCUUUUGCCUAAUAAAUAUGGAGGGCUGUGUAAAUCUCAGGGCCCUUGUGCACUAGAGGCAAGGUGCCCCCCGACCCCUUCUUACAAAUAUACUCUUGUCUCUUGCCUUUGAUUCCUGUGUUCGCCCCCCUUUGUUCAGUCCACCAGGUCUGUACAGGUUACAAGUCCCAAAUUUUUGAAUGGUUGUAAAAUGUGUUUAAAUGAUUUGUCCAUGUCUGUAUAAGCAGAUUUUUAUUGAUGGUGACUAUUAAGAAUUUGAAAAUGUAAUUAAAAAGUCUUGAUAAGGAGCUGUGUGUAGCCCUUUCAAGCAUAAAAUCCAAUUUUUAAACAGAUAUAAGCUCAAGUUUCUCAUUAAAGGUUUUCAACAAUUCUUUUUUGCAAAUUUUACAUGUAUUUAGUAUCUAAAUUUCCUUCUAAACUUUGUGCUGUAUUACCUUGCAUAUGAAAACUGUUUCAAAUUUUCCCCAGGCUCCAUAUGAAAGCACUUGAAUCCCUCCAGUUUAUCUCAGUGCCUUAGACUGGAUCUUCUAGAAACAGAGAAUUCCAGGUAGAAGGUUUAUUGGAGAAUGCCCUCAGGAAAUAUACCUAAAGGAAGUGAAGAUGGAGGCAAGACUGGACAGAGGGAGAAGCUGACUCACAUUGCAGUUACAAGUGAGGCCUCAGCUUAUCCUACUUGGAGCCCUAGAGCUGAAUGAACUUCUAGAGUUGUUUUAAAUUGAGGUGAGGGACUGAGCCUGUGUAUUUAUUCCCCAUCAGCCAUUCAUUAUGCUUGCUGGCAGAGGGCAUAACCUUGAGUGAGGCACACUAUGAAAUGUCAGAAGCCUAUUUCCGCAACAGCUUGGAGAUGGAUGUGAAAUGAACUGCAGAUUCUGAGCGCAGUUUUACAAGCACAACUUGAGUCUGAGUUCUAGCUACUGCCCAGUUGUGUGACCUUGGCCAAAACUGAAUAUGACAGUUCCAGUCUCUUCAGAUAAUUUACAUCAGCCAAUGUCCAAAGAAGUGAAAUAACUUAUUCAAGAUAACACUGCAGGGAGUCAUUCUGCAGACGAGGAGAUGUGAAAAUCCAAGGACCUUGGGGUCAAUUUCACUCAGGCAACAGCCUGGAGAAUAUGAGCCAUAAUUUAUGGAGAUUUAAGAAUUAAUAACAAAAACAUAUCAAAUGCUAAUGACAAAUUCAGAGCUGAAAUGAAACACAAAACCAAGAAUCGGUGCUUAGCAGAAUUUGGUAUGAAGCAGAAAGAGAAAAGUAAAAUUAGCAGAUCAAGGCUUCCAGAAAGGUGGAUGCGUAUGAGGUCCCUAGCCCCAGUACCCUCACAGAAACACAGUUUAGCAACUAUUCAUAGAAAAGAAUGCCUUUGUGAGAAUUCCAAAAGUUGAGCACCCUGGUAGAGUGAAAAAAAUUGCAUUAAAAAAGAUAAAAAUAACCCUUCUUUGUCAGAAGCAAUCCUGCCCAAUCCAGCACAACACAGAGCCAAGAAAGAUCCUGUUGACCCGUGAUUUCUUCAGUGGAGUAAAGAGAGAUCAUGGUGGAUGUUGAACUUCCCCAGCAUUUCAGGGCAUUGCUCUAGAGACCCACUUAUGCCUCACCUCAUAUCACACACUGGGGAAAUUGGCAUGGCUAGACCACCUGGGAACAAUCAGGAAUAACAGAAAGAGGCAGGGGCUCUCAGCAGCCAGUGCAUACAGAUCUCAGAGGCAGUCCCACAGCCCCUGUGAGCAGCCUUGCCUGACUGUGGCCCUAACCAACAACUCCAUCAAACCAAAGAGUCAAGUCGGCUGGCUCCACCCAACUAUAGAGCUCAGAGAGCAGGCUCACAUAACCUUAGAGCCCAGGCAACCAGCCCCACCCACCUGUGAAGCCCUACCAGACAACCAUGCUCAAAAGUAAAACUUUGGUAACAGGCUCCAUUUAACCAAGAAUUCAACAGGCCCUGUUUCAACUUUGAACCCAAUGGACCUCACUCACAGGCCUCACUUGCCCACAGAUAACUGCCAUCUGGCCCACCCAGAGUCCUAAGCUAGGCUGACUAGUGAAAGUCUUUCCCUGCUAAGAACAGACUAUAAAGACUGGAAGAGAGAACCACUUCUUCAAAUGUGCAGACAUAAAUGUAAGAAUAUAAGGAUCAUGAGAAAUUAAGGAAACUUGAUAACACCAUAGGAAACUAAAAAAGUUUCAAUAAUUGACCCCAAAUAAAUGAUGAUCUACGAAGUGCCUUACAAAGAAAAAUAAUAAUCGUCUUAAAGAAGCUUAGUGAACUAUUAGGCAGACAACUAAACAAAAUUAGAGAGGCAAUACAUAAACAAAAUGAGAAGUUCAAAAAGAAAUGAAAACCAUAAAACCAAAGAAACAGAAAUCCUGGAUUUGAAGAAUACAAUAACUAAACUGAAAAAAAAUUAAUAGAGGGCUUCAACAAAUGACCCAAUUAAGCAGAAGAAAGAAGUAGUUACCUUGAAGACAGGUCAUUUAAAUUAUGUAGUCAGAGAAGCUAAAAGGAUAAAGAAUGAAAAACACCGAAGAACCCCUACAGGACAUAUGAGACACCAUCAAGUAGUUCAAUAUACACAUUAUGAGAGUCUCUGAAGGAGAAAAGAAAGAGAAGGGGAGAAAAAAGUGUUUUCAAGGUUAUGAAGAAAUUGGAAUUCUUGUACACUGUUGGUGAGAAUGUAAAAUGGUAUAGCCACUAAGAAAAACCAGUAUGUAGGUCCCUCAAAGAAAUAAAAAUAAAACUUCCGUAUGAUCCAGUAAUCCCACUUCUAGGUGUAUAUCUGAAAGAAUUGAAAUCAGGAACUUGAAAUGAUAUCUGUACUCCCAUGUUCCUUCCAGCAUUAUUCACAAUAGUUAAGGUAUGGAGUUGUUACUAUUAUAAAUGGAUAUAAAGUUACAGUUAUACAGUAUGAGUAAGUUCCAGAAUUCUGCUGUACAACAUAAUGCCUGUAGUUAACAAUAAGGUAUUGUGCACUUUAAAAGGUAGUACAAGGAUAGAGCUCAUGUUAAGUGUUCUCAUCACAAAUUUUAAAAAAAGAAACAAAAAAUAAAGUGGCACAUGGAAACUUUUGGAUGUGAUGAAUAUAUUGAUUACCUUGAUUGUGGCAAGGUAACACUGGUAUAUGCAUAUGUUUGAACUCACCAAAUUGUACACACUAUGUGCAGUUUUGUGCACCAAAUAUACCUCAAUAACUUUGGGGAAAAUUAAAUUUAUUUUUUAAAAAAGUUUAGAUCAGGUCAUGUACAAUUGCCCUAACUGGGAGAUGAUUUGUCCAUAAGCCAUUUUUAAUAUCUCAUGACUCAACAUACAGCAACAGCUAAGAUUGGCUUAAUGGUUCACCACACACUCCUUUAGAUGGUCACAGAAUUGGAAGGAACCAGAAUGAACUAUGAAUAUGAAAAUCCAUCAAUAAUUUACAAAAUAGCCUUUAAAUUCUUUAUUGCUGAUUUUAUAACUAUUUUACUUUUUAUUUUAUUUAUAAGAGAAAAUUGUGUUGAUACAUGAGGAACGUUCCUCACUAUUUGACUAUGGCUUCAUCAUAGCAUAUGUUAGUCUGCUAGUAUCAGAAAAUUUGUGUGACACCUGCAAACUAAUCAGAGUUUCUAGGUUAAAGGGUGUGUCAGACACUCUGGAUAAAGUUCUUUCUCUGGAUUAAACUAGAAAUCUCAGGACCUGUAUAUUCUAACAUCUUGUUCAGUAGGGAAAAAUGGUAUGGGUGGUGGGAAGAGGCCAUUGAGUACAACUAGUCUCAUACAACUAGAGCCAGGUUUCCUAAUGAAAAUUGCAAUGUUAGGAUGUUCUCCACUUUACUAAAAGUCAUAAGUUUUAGAAAGUUAUUUCUUUUUCGGAGUCAUAUCUUCCUCCCUGAGAGUUCCAUUCCAUUAUCCUAAAGUUUCUCUGGAACCACUCAAAGUAGCUUCACUCUCUCUGAGAGAAAACUCUUUAAUAUUUGACAGUUUUUAUCAUUGCCUUCAGUGUCUUCUGUUCUCCAAAGAAGACACAUAUAACAAUGAGGCUAAACUAACCAGCUUCAACAGAAAGGUCUUAGAAAUGAUGCCAGUAUAUUUAUUGGCUUAAUAUAGACACAAUUAUCCAUUCUGAGCAGAGAUGACAAAAUUACAUCUUUGACAGAGCAAAGUUCUUCAUAAGGGGACCACUUGUGGGCAAAUUUUGGGAUGUAUGUACCCUUGUUUAUUUUUACUUCACUUUUAUCAUAUUUUCAGAUGGACUUUAUUACUCAAAAAGACUAAGAAUAAUUGACUUGUUGAAGACUUUAUUAUAAACAUAUUGCACAGUUCUCCUUGGUCACAUUAUAAGAACAUUUGGGUAUGUCUGUGACUCAUCAGUGAUUAUCAGUGGGCAAAUGUGAACAACUACUGUGGUAUCUUCAGCAAAGUCCUGCAGCCUCACAUAAAUAAAUGAAAGGAAAAACUGGGGAAGGAAAGAAGAGAAAGCAAAGGAAAAAAGGAAGGAAG
rnacentral:lncRNA from 1 species